UACAGCCAUACUAUGUUGAAACACUGGUUCCUGUAUGAUCACUGAAGUUAAACAACAUCGUGCCUGGUCAGUACCUAGAUGGGUGACUGCUUGGGGAUACCAGGUGCUGUAAG